UACGUAGGUGGCGAGCGUUGUCCGGAUUUACUGGGCGUAAAGGGAGCGUAGGCGGACUUUUAAGUGAGAUGUGAAAUACCCGGGCUCAACUUGGGUGCUGCAUUUCAAACUGGAAGUCUAGAGUGCAGGAGAGGAGAAUGGAAUUCCUAGUGUAGCGGUGAAAUGCGUAGAUAUUAGGAGGAACACCAGUUGCGAAGGCGGCUCUCUGGACUGUAACUGACACUGAGGCUCGAAAGCGUGGGGAGCAAACAGGAUUAGAUACCCU
rnacentral:rRNA from 1 species